CCCAGCCCCAAGCCCCCAACCUGCCCGCCGCUGCCUGCUCGUCUCCUCGUCCCUCCCGUCCCCCGUCUCGCCCUCUCCCUCUCCUUCUCCCGCCUCGCGUCGCCGCCGCCGCCGCCGCCCCGCGCGCCGCCCCUCCUCCCUCUCCCUCAGCCAUCCUCCUCCUCCGCCGCCGGUCCAUUCUCCGCCCUUCACCGCCUCCGUUGCCGGCCACCACUGCCCCCGUCCACGCCUCGCGUCGCCGCCCCCAUCCCCGUCCCCGCCCCGUCGCUAGGGUUUCGUCACGAGCGACCUCCCGCCGUGGAAGCUUCCACCUUCCUCCUCAUCCUUGUCCUCACGGCCGCGGCGUUCGCGGCGUAGGCGGCGGGGGACGGGUGCAGCGCCGGAUGCGAGCUCGCGCUGGCCUCCUCAUCCUCGAGCGCCUCCACCCCAAUACUUUCUUCGUCCUCGCCUCGUCGCGUCGCUCUGUCUUCUCCCCUCCCUGCCUCUUCGGUUGAUGUCUUCAUUUCUUCCCCUUUCGUGCGAAUGGGACCAACGGCGGAUCAAGCGAGGGCGCCGCAGAUCGACUGGCGGCACAGCUUCUCCCCAUCCUUUGGUGCUGCAUUGCUGGUAUCAUCGUCGUGUUUCCCGCUGUUGGUGCGUGUCUCACGGAGAAAGAAUGGAUUGGAGUAAAUCAGCAGCGGUGUGGAUUGUGCUCUGACCUCGGCAGGGGCGGAUACAAGAACACAGCGAUGAGAUCCGGUGCGGUUUGUGGCGGACCAAGCAUGCCGGCCGAUGGAGAUGGUUCUCUGCAUCUACGCAUUCCCCACCAACAUGCCGCCCUUCAGGUACAAAUCAAGUCUGAUAAAACACUGCCAUCCUUCUUGUGUUACAUGUUCUGUGUUACAUGGUGGCCUCCUCCUCCACCACAGCGGCGGUGUCGGCAAACAGAUUUGAGAGGUAAAAACAUCCCUUCUUGUGUUGCUUUACGGCCAUAUUUGAGAGGAGAAUGGCAUGAUGCUGCAGUUUGAUUUCACCGGCUUUCCUGCUUGCCGUAUUUGUAAUCUCAACUUUCAUUUCAAGUGAUUGUUGGGGCCAAACCUAUGGUGGCUAGUCGCUGAGGUGGUGUCAUUAAUGGAGGCAAAGAGUGGCAAGUGGUGACCAAAGCGGAAGGACCUGGUGUGUUGCGCGUGCGCCGGCCACUGGCGGUGCGAGGCCACGGCGACGGUCAUGCUGCCAUUAUCCAAGUAUGGCUGCUGACCAAUUUCUUCCCUGAAGUAGGUGAGGUUAGCCCGAUAGGAACACAUACCACCUAUAUUGUGAUAUUUGGAGCUAGGGCACAUUCAGUCCUGUUAUUUGAUCUGUAGCAUCAAGGUUGUAAAAUUAUCAGUUUUGCAGAGGAUUUUUGGUCAUCAAAUUGGAGUUGAUGAUAUUUUUUGAGACACUGAAUUAACUAAUAUCAAAUAUAUAAUCUGGAUUUCCCUUCAACUCAAAGCUUGUUGUUGUCUUGUUGUCUGCGUGCAUGCUGGGGUGGCUCUUCUGCGGGCGAUCAAAAGGGCAGUGACAGCAUGUAUUGACGAACGCAAUGUGCUUGCUGGCCGAAUAGACAUGAACACAUAUCACUGAGAGGGAGUGAAACAGUGUUGACGAGUAGCCUGCUUUUGGGUGAUAGAAAUAGCAUUGUAGUAGGGUGGUAAUAGCAAGAAGCCGAAAGGUAAGGAUCAGGCUAUAACGUUGGGGCAUUGGCAACUCAAUUAAAAGGUAAGUAUCUAUUGGUCACAGAGCUUGACAACUUUGAAUCUUUGAUGAUCGUAUUGUACCAUUGUUUCAGUUGUAGUGGCCAUUGUUCCUGUUAAAUGCAAGUUGAUACUAAUAAACCCAUUGAAUAGAGGCCUUCAUAUAAUUCAAUGUUUAAGAGAAACCAACCGUGGACUGGAGCUCUCAGAUUAGUUUAUUCAAGCCACUUUUUUCUAGCAUGCAAUUAUUUCGUGGCUUAUUGCAUUCCCUAUAAUUUUCAUUGACUUAGAGGAGGUUUGGGGCUUUUUAUUUUUAAUGAGGUGCAACAAUCUGUCCAUCUCACUCGUUGGUGCAAUUACAUUUUUUGCUUGAUUUUCUUCACUGCUUUAUGACGACUGAGAUAAAAACUUAUCUGUGCAGCUUCAUGUUUCUGAUGCAGGGGUAGGGUAGUUGUCUGGUUGUUCAUGUUCUGAUUUAACUCAUUAGUGUUGUGCUAAAUGGAAGGUCAAGCUGCUCUACAUGCAGGCAAGAACAGACAAGCCUGAAAAUUUUUGUGGCAAAUUCUUAGCUCAACCUGAAAUUCCGAAGCUGAAAUCUGUAUUCAGUCUUCAACUCUAUGCUCCGACGACGCUGGCGCCGGCUCACGACUUCUGGCUGCUGCGGUACACCUCCAUUCUCGGUGAUGGAAGCUUAGUGGUGUGUGAGAGAUCACUCAGUAGCAAGCAAGGAGGCCCAAGCAUGCCACUUGUCCAGCCUUUUAUCAGAGAUGAGAUGCUUCCCAGUGGGUUCUUGAUCCGACCUAGCGAUGGUGGAGGCAGCGUGAUACACAUCGUUGAUCAUAUGGACCUGGAGCCUUGGAGCGUGCCUGAAGUUGUGCGACCUCUGUAUGAAUCUUCUGCCUUGGUUGCGCAGAAGAUAUCGAUGGCGUCUUUACGCUGCCUGAGGCAGGUUGCCUACAAAGAUACCCGUUCUGUGAUCACAGGAUGGGGAAGGAAGCUUGCGGCUUUGCAUGCUCUGAGCCAAAAACUUUUCAGAGGCUUCAAUGAAGUUCUCAAUGGGCUUGCGGAUGAUGGAUGGUCCGUGAUCGAGAGCGAUGGCAUCGACGAUGUUUGCAUCUCUGUCAAUUCAUCCAAAGUGACCGGUUGCAAUGCAACAUUCAGCAGUGGACUCACUAUUGUCAGUACCGGUGUUCUUUGUGCCAAGGCAUCCAUGCUGUUGCAGGAUGUCUCUCCUCCAUCACUACUGCAAUUUUUGCGCGAACACCAGUCACAAUGGGCUGACGAUGAAACCAAACUUCUGCAAUUUACCCAUGUCUCGUCUUGGAGGAUUCAGUGGUCAGGUCAUACUUCCUUUAGCACACACUUUUGAACCUGCAGAGUUCCUGGAAGUUAUCAAGCUAGGAAACACCAGAAACUACCAAGAUACACUGGUGCACCGUGAUCUGUUCCUCUUGCAGAUGUACAAUGGAGUAGAGGAGAGCAGUGCAGGAACAUGUUCAGAGCUAAUCUUUGCACCCAUCGAUGCAUCGUUCAGUGAUGAUUCUCCGCUGCUGCCUUCCGGUUUCUACAUCAUCCCUAUCGAUUCUCCUCUGUAAGACACAUCUAGCUCGAACUGCAUGCUAGAUCUCGCUUCCAUGCUCGAAGCAGCGACGCCAUGGAGCAGGAUCAGCGGCAUCAAUAGCAGCGGCGAGCUCCAAGGCGGUGAUGACGAUCGCGUUCCAGUUCGCGUUCGAGAGCCACCUGCAGGGCAGCGUGCCCGCCAUGGCGCAGCAGUACAUGUGCAGCAUCAUCUCAUCGGUGCAGAGGAUUGCCGUGGUGCUCUCAUCCUCCCGCCUCGUCCCUCCCGGCGUUGCCGCCGCCACGCAGCACGCGCCGGCGACUCGGUGCUGCCCAGAUGGAUUUGCCAGAGCUAUAGAUUUCAUUUUGGAGCUGAACUCAUCAAAUCUGCAGAUGCCAACAGCAGCAGUGAAUCGGUUCUGAAAGCAGUUUGGCAUCAUCCCAGUGCCAUACUCUACUGCUCUCUCAAGGUGAUGCCAGUGUUCACGUUUGCAAACCGAAGACGGAGGCGGCGCCAGGCACAAGAUGGCGGAGGAGGUGAACAAAUCUAUGAUCAUCAGGAAAAUCAAUCAAAUUUAUGUUACCUAAUCUAUCCAACAAGUGAACAAAUUGGAGGCAGCUAAGACUACAUAAGAAAUUGAAAAGCACGGCCAUACUCUUUUGACUAAGUUUCGAAGUCAGGCUUGCAAGGAUAGACUAAAGCUCUUAUAUCAGUCUUUCUUCUCUUAGCAAAUUCUCAUUGCUAGAUCUCAGAUCAUCUUGCAAACCUCUUAUAUCAUUUAUAUCAUUUUCCAUAUGCAAAUCUGUGGUUCAUCUCUAAAUUGUAAUGACUGGGUAAGCUCUCUGGUCCUCCCAUGUCCUUGACAAUAACAGUAAUAUCCUUCAACUUUUCAACUUAUCUUCAUUCUCACAGGUAAGUCUUGUAAUUCAUCUUCUAUUUGUGCUAGCCUUGAUGUUAAGUCUGCAUUUAUAACGGUACUCUCUUGAGUUUCUAAACUAACUUCAUCAAUGGAUUAUUUGACAGGUGAUGCCUGGUAAGUCUUGUAAUUCAUCACAGGUAAGUCUUGUAAUUCAUCUUCUAUUUGCUGCACUGGUGAUGCCUACAAAGAGCUCACUGCGACGAACUUCAUCAACUCAAUUCUGAAGGUCGACCAAAACAAGCAAGAUUAUCUGACGAUACAAAAUCAUUAGAAAGAUCUAAAUUAUGUGUAUUUGCAAUCCGGUGUGCGUUUGUGCAGGGGUCAGGCAUGAGAGAGGAUAUUGUGUGUAGGUGAUCGAUGGAUGCUAUGAACUACCUCUGCAGUUAGAAAUGUGUUAGAUCUUGUCUCUGCAAAGAUGAACACCUUUUCUUACUUGUUCAACUCGAUCAGCAUGCAGUAUCCUGUUCAAUUUUUUUCCCCUUCAGCCAUUCAGAAAUUCAGAAGUGGCUAUCAUGCUUUAA